UCUCGCCGCACCGCGGGCUGCCCGGACCUCCCUGGCGGAGCACCUUCCGGCGGACCCAGCGCGGAGCUCUGAGCUCGGCUGCGGUCCGGCGGCAACCCAGGUGUGGCGGCCUCAGGACGCGGUGCGAGCACAGGAGCCGCACCCCGCGGGACCCCGGCCUCACCCCCGGAGCUCCAGGCCGCCCCGCCUCGCCCCCGGCUCCGAAGGGCGUAGCUGCGUCGGGAGGAGCCUCAGCCUGGCUCGGGCGCUCAGGUGGCCCGGGUCCGCCCAAUCCUGCCAGGCAGACAUCUUAAUCCCGCUAAGAAGUAAGGGGUUAAAGCUCAGAGAGGUUGAGUGACCUGACCAAGGUUUCCACUGGAAGGCAACCGGCACUGGGGCUUCAGUUCCUGGCCUGCACCAGCUGACAUCCUUAGUGUCCACAUUUGUGACCAUCGGGCAGCACUGGAGCGGCCUCGAGGAGGGUCGGCUCCUACACCUGCGCUCCGUUGGCCGCGGCUGAGCCCCUGGUCUUACCCCUCAGUGUGGAGACGAUGCCAAAGCUGCAGGGCUUCGAGUUCUGGAGCUGUACCCUGGGGGGGGCCCGCCACGUGGUGGCCCCCAUGGUGGACCAAAGCGAGCUGGCCUGGAGGCUGCUGAGCCGCCGCCACGGGGCCCAGCUGUGCUACACACCCAUGCUGCACGCCCAGGUCUUCAUUCGAGAUGCCAACUACCGCAAGGAGAACCUGUACUGCGACGUGUGCCCCGAGGACCGGCCUCUCAUUGUGCAGUUCUGUGCCAAUGACCCGGAGGUGUUUGUCCAGGCAGCUCUCCUGGCUCAGGACUACUGCGAUGCCAUCGACCUGAAUUUGGGCUGCCCGCAGAUGAUAGCCAAGCGAGGUCACUAUGGCGCCUUCCUGCAGGAGGAGUGGGACCUCCUCCAAAGGAUGAUUCUGCUAGCCCACGAAAAACUUUCUGUCCCUGUCACAUGCAAGAUCCGUGUCUUCCCAGAGAUUGACAAGACCGUAAGGUACGCCCAGAUGCUGGAAAAGGCUGGCUGCCAGUUGCUGACUGUCCACGGGCGCACCAAGGAGCAGAAGGGGCCCUUGUCGGGCACCGCGUCCUGGGAGCACAUCAAGGCUGUGCGGAAGGCAGUGGCCAUCCCCGUGUUUGCCAAUGGGAACAUCCAGUGCCUGCGGGACGUGGAACGCUGCAUCCAGGACACGGGGGUGCAAGGGGUCAUGAGUGCAGAGGGAAACCUGCACAACCCUGCCCUGUUCGAGGGCCGCAGUCCUGCCGUGUGGGAGCUGGCCGAGGAGUACCUGGACAUCGUGCGGCAGCACCCCUGCCCUCUGUCCUACGUCCGGGCCCACCUCUUUAAGCUGUGGCACCACACGCUGCAGGUGCAUCAGCAGCUUCGAGAGGAGCUCGCCAAAGUGAAGACCCUGGAGGGCAUUGCCGCAGUGAGCCAGGAGCUGAAGCUGCGGUGUCAGGAGGAUAUAUCCAGGCAGAAGGAGGGAGAGAAGCCUUCAGGCGGCUUGCCUUUCUUCCACUGGAUCUGCCAGCCCUACUUCCGGCCAGGGCCCAGGGACGGGAGCAGGGAGAGCGGGGGUGCCCGUAGCAAGCGGGCCCUGGAGGAGGAGGAGGGCAGUACAGACGUCUUGUCCAAGAACAAGCAGAAGAAGAAACUGAGGAACCCCCAUAAGACCUUCGACCCCUCGCUGAAGCGUAAGAUGCUCCCACCACUGGAGCCCUGGGAGGUGGCCAGCCCCUGCCCUGGGUCCCCCAGGGUCAGGUGGCUCUGCUGCUUCCUAAGCCAUGGGGAGUCCACCAGGGAGGGCCCUGUGACCCUUCCAUGUGCCCCCAAGGAGACUGGCGGGUCCCACGAGGCCACAGCCAGUCAGCCUCCCUGCCUGCUGCGGUCCCUGAGCUGCUGCCCUGAGGCAGCUGGAGAGGAAGGGAGUGGGGCCUGGGGCGGCUUUCCCAAGAAGGACCUUCAAGUGGGAGGUGGUGGGCAUGGAGCCCGUGCACCUCGGGCAGAUGGGAUGAGGUUUCCCGGCGCAAUCGUGAGUACUACGUCCUCUGCCCUCUGCAAGCCACCUGGCCUGGCCAGCCGCAGGGAGCAGGGAUACCUGCCAGGGGCCACAUGUAGGAGAUGGCUGUGGUGGGUGGGCUCACCUAGUUCAACCAGCACCUCCUUUUGCUCUUUUCCCAGCAAAAUAUGCAAAGUGUGAUCAGUGUGGAAACCCAAAGGUGAGUCUGUCCUUCUAGCCACACCGCCCAGGGUAGAGCUCAGCCCCGGGAGGGGUGGGGACCUGCGCAAGAGGUCCUCUCCCUGUCUGUUUUGGGGGCAGCCUGGGCACAGCCCAAGGUGGGUGGCUUCUGUCGUGUAAGGGGCUCUGCCUAUCUUCAGGAGAGCCCCACCUGUGCUCGGGGCCCACUCACUCAGGCUGCAGCCCGGCCAGGGGAGGAGCAUUAGCCCCAGGCUCACACACUUUCCUAUGUCCAGGGCAACAGAUGUGUGUUUAACCUGUGCCGGGGCUGCUGCAAGAAGCGAGCUUUCAAAGAGACGGCUGACUGUCCAGGUCAUGGACUGCUUUUUAAAACCAAACUGGAGAAGUCUCUGGCCUGGAAGGGGGCCCAGCCGCGGCUGCAGGAA